rnacentral:lncRNA from 1 species
AUGGCCAUUAGCAGAGGGCCGCGCCGAUUGGCCGGCCUCCAGCGGACUCCGGCGGCCUAUGCAAAUGAGGCCGCGCUCGCAAUUAGCGGCCGCGCGGGCGAGGAGGGGCCGGCGCCUGCGGGACCGGGGCGCGCGCGGCCCGGCGCCGCCUCACAUCGCGGGCUCCGCGCUCCGGCGCCCAGGUGCGGCUCGCGGGCCCGGAGCGGCCGCCCUGCCCCGGGCGCAGGAGCAAACUUUGGCGGCGUCCGCGCGGCGCCGUCUCCGCCGGCGCGCCGAGCUCGCCGCUUUAUAGAGAGUCUGCGCCGCCGCCCGCGCCCCGCGCCCGCCCCCCCGCCGCCGCCCGGCCGCCCCUCCCGGAGCGAGCGGCCGCGGGCAGGGCUCCGGCCCGCGCCUUUGUCUCGCCGGGCCGCUCGGGCGCCGCGCCUCCUGCGCUCCGGGCGCGGAGACUCGCCGGCCGCCUUCGCUCCUCGGCGGCGGGUCGCGGCGCCGCUCGGCGCGCCGGCCCCGCUCGGGCUCAGGUGCCCCCUCGCUCCGGACCUGCUCGCAGGCUCGUGUCCCCUCCGCGGCUCCCCCGGCGGCCGGCCCGGCUCGGAGGCUCGCGGCCGGAGCGGAGCGGAGUGCGCACGCCGGGGUGGCGGGACUUCGGCAAGACCAACUUUCCGGUUCGGAAGCGGCGCGGGCCGCGCGGCUCCUCCCCUCCUCUCCCCUCGCCUCCCCCUCCCCUCCCCCCCCCCGCCCCCCCCCGGGCCCCUCCGACUCCGGAGCGUCCGCCCCGCCCGCCGCCGCUGCCGCCACCGGGGCUGCCUCGGCCCCUCGCCCGCCCGCCGGGCCUCCCGCCGCCAGUGGCUCUUAAAUCCGGGGGAAGGGAGGGGACGGCCAGGCCCCGGUGUCCCCCCAAGUUCCCUCUCCCGACGGGUGCAGUGUCGGGCGCCUGUGGACUGGGCAGGGGCGCGGGGUCCCCGAGGCCGCGCGACGGAAAGUUCCAAGUCCCCAAAAGUCCCGCGGGCGGCCCACCGCGUUCUAGGACUUUCGGGAGUGACGUGGGGGGCGGGGGAGAGGUCGCGCACGUCUCGACCGGCUCCGCACCCUCGGCGGGCGCGGCGCGUUCCCCGCACACGCACCCACCCCUCGCCGGCGGUCACGCGCCCGCGCGCACCCGCAGCCGCGCCCGCGCCCACCCCCGCGCACUCAUUCCCGCGCGUGUCCUUCGUCCCUGAGCACCCGCCGUGA